UACGGAGGGUGCAAGCGUUAUCCGGAUUCACUGGGUUUAAAGGGUGCGUAGGCGGCUUGCCAAGUCAGUGGUGAAAGCCCGCGGCUUAACCGUGGAAUUGCCAUUGAAACUGGCUGGCUCGAGUGUGAUUGAAGUGGAUGGAAUACAUCAUGUAGCGGUGAAAUGCUUAGAGAUGAUGUAGAACACCAAUUGCGAAGGCAGUUCACUAAGUCAUAACUGACGCUGAGGCACGAAAGCGUGGGGAUCAAACAGG
rnacentral:rRNA from 1 species